UAUCUGUGUUGCCCAGUUCAAGCCCUCUGGAUAAAAGAGAGGAUAAGCAGUGAAUACAUUUACGAGAAGGAAGAUAAUCGGUUUUAAAGUUUGGACGGCUAUUGUAUCAUAUAGAUACCUGUGGGAAAAGCAGGGUCCAGGUAACCCUGCUAGGACAUCAGCUGCUGAGACUGUGCCAGCUUCUCCAGUCCUGCCUGGCUAUUCCAGUCCGGAGUUUCAUCUGGGCAGUACAGUUGCUGCAAAGACGAGCUAUACAACACUGAGUACCAUUGAAAAUAUUUUAUGCAAGCCUUAAAAACCUUACUCCAGAAUGAAUGCUACACAACCAGAGAAUGGACUUUUUCCUAGCUUACCACCUCAAGGAAAUAUCCUUCUCUUCAAACAAUCCUGAAAACCUCUUCUCUGCACAGUGAUUCCAGAAAAACUACUGACACCACGCUGCCGAGAAAGUUUGCUUUGCAACAACAGUUACCUUUCACGUGGGUGUUGUUCCUGCUGAGUCUGUCUGCUGCUUCCUAUGUUUUGUGUCACAAAAUGUGACAAUGUUUUAUUGGUCACAGUAAAUUUACAUUUCAGCUUUGAACCACCUUUGCAAAAAAAAUUGUAUUUGGAUAAAAAAAUGCAGUGUAAUAUUCUAAUAUGUAGUGUUGGAUGUUCUAAUUAUAUUCAGUUAUAAACAAAAGUAAAUUUGUUAAAUGUUAAUAUUCACAUUAAAUAUAAAAAUUAAAACACAUAGGAGUCUCCAGCUUCACUUGAUCACUUGGUGACAGAGACAGAAAAUACAGCUCAUCACUGAAAAAUCUCAUGAGAGUCCAUGCAUUACUAAGUUCUUGAAAAGCUAGUUCUAUUUCUUUAUAUUAAGUUUUUGGGUUAUUUAGUAGUCUAAGUUUAAUGAAUCACCAUUAAAAAAAUUAAUUUGCUUUACAACAAAUUUGAAAAUCUGUAACAAAUAGGAAAUUGGAAAUUUGUAAAGUUGAAAGGCAAGUUCUAAUUGUUUUCCUUUUAAACUGUGGUUCAAUUAGAAUUUAAUUUAAACUACUGCAAAAAUAAAAAUGAAAAAAAAAUAGAAUUUGACUUUGAAAAUCUCCAAUAUCCCAUUCAUGCCAAUGAUGAGCUGCAUUACUUGUGUUUCAAUCUACUUCCCAGCAGGAAGUCCAGUCUUAUGAAAUAUCAGCAAAACAUCAGCUCCACUAAUCCUAUUCAUUAAAUAGAGAAACUGUAACAGUAAUCGUUUUUUCUAAAAUGCAUGCAAAAUAAGUUUUAAUAUUUGCAAUACAUUAAAUGCCAAAGCACAUAAUUUAAUGAAGUGUUUCAUUUAUUAAAGUGACUGUAGUUUUGUAGCGUAUUAGAGUGCAUUCUAAAUGGUGUCUAAUGUAUUAUGCAAACCCUGAUUACUGGGUAGCAUCCUAAGUUCAGUUGAAUAAAUUAAAUGCUCAUGAACUCCAAAUAUGUCAAGGGAAAGAAU